rnacentral:tRNA from 1 species
UCCCUGGUGGCUCAGACGGUAAAGCGUCUGCCUGCAAUGCGGGACACCCGGGUUCGAUUCCUAGGUUGGGAA